rnacentral:misc_RNA from 1 species
AUGCGAGAUAUUGGGAAACACUUGUAUGGAUAUUGACAACGAAGCCGCCCAUCCCAGAGGCGCUGGGAGGGCCGGAGGGCGGAGGCCCGCCCAGCCGCGGGCGGCCUCCUAUUGGUUUGAGACUAAAUUGCUGCAAAGAAGACUCACCAUGUUCGUUUAUUAGUUUUGAA